CUCAGGUGAGCUGGGAGGAAUAUGCUUCAGCGAGAGUCCACAUGGCUUACCUCACAGGGGACAGAGGGAUCAUGGAUGAAGAUGGUUCCUUCUGGUGGACUGGUAGAGCUGAUGAUGUCCCAGAUGGUCCAAUGCAAUAAUGGCAAUACUGGGGACUCAAUGAGCAAAAUGUGCAAAUUUUCCAACUACCUGGGACAAAGGCAUUGCUGUUACUCCUUCGAAAUCUCAAGUCCACACCCUUUGGAACUCAGACUCUCACCCUUGGAGACAGUCACUGGACAUCCAUGCAUUCGACCACUGCCCCUUUUGACCCACAGGUGGGAAAAGGGGAUAUAUUUCAAUAAUGCAAACAUCUAGUUGCUUCUAUUAAAACUAACCAUGUUGUAGCAGAGCAAUCUUUUCACAGGCCACUCCCAGCGGACACUUACCUUGAUCAUCACACCUUGCAACCUGGAGAGUCUCUCCAUUGGAAAAGACACCUCCACAGAGAUUCUCUUCAACCUCCCUUGAGAGGCCCUUAUCACAUACUGCUAACCAAACCUUGUGCUGCCAAAUCCCAGGGAAUGGACUCUUGGGUCCACGGGACACAUUUAAAGAAGGCACCAAACCCUGACUGGACCUGUACACCAGCUGGUGACAAGAAGGGCUCACCCACGAGAAGCUACAACACUUGGAACUCCCAGAUGCCACCAAUGGACCUUCGGUUCUUAACAGCCUUCCAAAUUGCCCCCUUUCCUCCUGAAAACAGGGAGCCUCUCUGAUAUUCC